rnacentral:rRNA from 1 species
GACGAACGCUGGCGGCGCGCUUAACACAUGCAAGUCGAGCGAAGCGGCGGACGGGUGAGUAACACGUGAGUAACCUGCCUUAGACAUUGGGAUAGCCUCGGGAAACCGGGAUUAAUACCAAAUGGUCUAAGAUGGACUCGCGUCCCAUUAGCUAGUUGGUGGGGUAACGGCCCACCAAGGCGACGAUGGGUAGCCGGCGUUAGAGGGUGACCGGCCACAUGAGGACUGAGCUACGGCCCAGACUGUGCGGGAGGCAGCAGUGGGGGAUAUUGCACAAUGGGCUAAAGCCUGAUGCAGCGACGCCGCGUGGGGGAUGAAGGCUUGCGGGUUGUAAACCUCUUUCGCGAUCGAACAUUUUUUUUGUGGGUUGAGGGUAGGUGGAGAAGAAGCGCCGGCUAACUACGUGCCAGCAGCCGCGGUAAUAC